AUGAGUGAAAUCUCUUUCUUUCAGCGACUUUCCAAUGGGGGGCGGGCUUAGCGCGAGGCACGGAAUUCAGGUGCCCGACAGAGCCUCGCCAGGGAGAGCCAAGAGUUGCCCGGCCCCUCCAGCCAGGAGGAGAAGGCAAAGCCCAGCUCCGCGCGAUGGGGAGCAACGAGCAGCGACGCUGGACGCCGCAAAGCCCUCUCGGUCCCCACGAACUUUAUUUCAAGACCCUUGCUAAGCAGAAACAAAAGGAAGUAAUGGAGAAGAAUGGAAACAACCGAAAACUUCGGGUUUGUGUUGCUACGUGUAACAGGGCAGAUUAUUCAAAAUUGGCCCCAAUCAUGUUUGGCCUUAAAGCAGAACCACAGUUCUUUGAACUGGAUGUUGUGGUUCUGGGCUCUCACCUGAUUGAUGACUAUGGUAACACUUACCGUAUGAUUGAACAGGAUGACUUUGACAUCCAUACCAGAUUACACACGAUAGUAAGAGGAGAGGAUGAAGCAGCUAUGGUGGAAUCUGUUGGCCUUGCCUUAGUCAAGUUGCCUGAUGUGCUCAAUCGCCUGAAACCUGACAUAAUGAUAGUCCAUGGAGACAGGUUUGAUGCUUUAGCGCUAGCUACAUCUGCAGCCUUAAUGAACAUUCGAAUUCUUCACAUUGAAGGUGGAGAAGUCAGCGGGACCAUAGAUGAUUCCAUCAGGCAUGCCAUUACCAAGCUGGCUCAUUACCACGUGUGUUGCACAAGGAGUGCAGAACAGCAUUUGAUCUCUAUGUGUGAGGACCAUGACCGCAUCCUCCUGGCAGGAUGCCCUUCAUAUGAUAAGUUGCUGUCCGCAAAAAAUAAGGAUUACAUGAGCGUUAUCCGGAUGUGGUUAGGUGAGGAUGUGAAACCAAAAGACUAUAUAAUCGCUUUACAGCACCCUGUGACCACAGAUAUUAAACAUUCCGUGAAGAUGUUUGAACUGACUUUGGAUGCCCUCAUCUCUUUUAACAAGAGGACUUUGGUUUUAUUCCCAAAUAUUGAUGCAGGGAGCAAAGAAAUGGUUCGGGUAAUGAGGAAGAAAGGUAUUGAGCAUCACCCAAAUUUCCGCGCAGUAAAAAAUGUCCCAUUUGACCAGUUCGUUCAGUUAUUGGCUCAUGCAGGCUGCAUGAUUGGGAACAGUAGCUGUGGUGUACGAGAAGUCGGGGCAUUUGGGACUCCUGUCAUAAAUCUUGGAACACGUCAGAUAGGGAGAGAAACAGGAGAAAAUGUUCUUCACGUGCGGGAUGCUGACUCCCAAGACAAGAUACUUCGAGCUUUACACAUACAGUUUGGGAAACAAUACCCUUGUUCAAAAAUAUAUGGAGAUGGAAAUGCUGUUCCAAGAAUUCUGAAGUUCCUUAAAUCUAUUGACCUCCAGGAACCCCUUCAAAAGAAAUUCUGCUUCCCCACUGUAAAAGAAAGCAUUUCCCAAGAUAUUGAUCAUAUCUUAGAAACCCAGAGUGCCCUGGCAGUGGAUCUGGGUGGAACAAACCUCCGAGUAGCAAUUGUCAGCAUGAAGGGUGAAAUAGUUAAGAAAUACACACAGCUGAACCCUAAAACUUAUGAGGAUAGAAUAGAAUUGAUCCUUAAGAUGUGCGUAGAAGCUGCCUCAGAAGCAGUAGACCUGAAUUGCAGAAUUCUGGGUGUAGGCAUUUCUACAGGUGGAAGAGUAAAUCCCCGAGAAGGUGUUGUUCUUCAUUCCACAAAGCUUAUUCAGGAGUGGAACGCUGUUGAUUUGCGGACACCAAUAUCAGAUGCUCUGCAUUUGCCAGUGUGGGUAGAUAAUGAUGGCAACUGUGCAGCUUUAGCAGAAAGAAAAUUUGGACAUGGGAAAGGAGUGGAAAACUUUGUAACCGUUAUCACUGGGACAGGUAUUGGUGGUGGAAUCAUUCAUCAAAAUGAAUUAAUUCACGGUAGCUCUUUUUGUGCCGCUGAGCUUGGGCAUAUUGUGGUAGCACUAGAUGGACCAGAGUGCCUGUGUGGGAACCACGGCUGCAUAGAAGCAUACGCUUCUGGAAUAGCCUUGCAGAGAGAAGCUAAGAGACUGCAUGACGCAGAGGAUUCAUUAUUAAUUGGAGAGAUGUCUAUGAAAAAAGAAGAUACAAUAACUGCUGCACAUCUUAUUCAGGCAGCUAAACUGGGAAACCCAAAAGCUGACAAUAUUGUUAGAACAGCAGGAACAGCUCUGGGCCUUGGAAUUGUUAAUGUUCUGCACACCAUUAGUCCCUCCCUUGUGAUACUUUCUGGUGUCUUGGCAAGUCAUUAUGUCAAUGUGGUCAAAGAUGUGAUCCGUCAGCGAGCUUUAUUCUCUGUGCAGACAGUGAAUGUGGUUGUCUCAGACCUGACAGAUCCUGCCUUGCUUGGAGCUGCUAGCAUGGUUCUGGAUUAUACAACACGCAGGAUAUACUAAAUACCUGGAGAAAAAAAGUAGAAAUCCAUUAUGAAAUUUAUAACGGUUCUUUGGGAAAAUAUUUCCUACUGAUGUUUUUUUAGUUGUUUCAGAUGGUUUUACAGAAUCUCACCUUCAAAAUUGUUCCCAUCCACCCAUCCUUUAUUUAAUUGCUGCUUUUAUAUGCUGGAAUGUGACUAGAAACAUGGCUCAGAAGAGGACUCUCUUGUAGACUAAAUGAAAUUAAAAACUUCCUGGGAAGCCUCUAUCCCAGGUAGCUACAAAUCGUAGAAAAGAGAACUGAUUGCUCUUUUUCCUAAUGAAUUUUCAAACUGUUUUACUCAGUGAAUAGUAAUUUCAGUAACCAGAUCUUUGUUAAGCAAAUAAAGAAACAUCCCUGAUAUAUAUAUGUAACCAUUUCCACCUCUGCAGAGAUAGGCAGGCAUGAUCUCUGCAUGAUGAGAGGAAUUGGAACUACCCCGGGGUAAAAUACCCAGCAGUAUGACGUGACUAUCUGUGUGUUCAUUAAUUAGAUUAAUAUUAAAAUCCUUAUUAGGAAGAUGACAUAUGGUGCACAUACAUAUUUAGUUUCAAAGAGCUUUACCCAGUUCAUGCCCUUCAGACAUACUGAAUUACAGUUCUUAGAAUUCUACAUCAUCAUUACCAUCAAUUAUGUUGGCUAGCAGUUAUUGGAGCUAUAAUCCAGAAUACCCUAAAAGGCACAAGUUUACAUACAGUGUGCUAGGGUGAAGAAGAAAAUAGAACAAAGUAUAUGCUUUGUCUCAGUCACUGGUAGUGGUAUUUUUAUAUACACCCUCUGUAAUGUGGUGAUUCCUACCACUGUUCUUACUUUUCAUGUUCUUUGCUUUUCAUGUUUUCAGCCAGUUUUUCAUGUUUAAAAAAAUAGUAGAGUCAGUUGCACAAGUCAUGCUUCAUUCAUUGAUGCAGACUGGGGCUUGAGAAGAUGUUUGCUCUUUGGGUUUGUUCUUUGAAUCAAACCCAUAUUUAAACUGGCUUUCAGAAACGUGUCGUAUAUAUAUAUUUUGUUAGCCUUGUCAUGCCCACUAAGUAUUACUGUUUUUUUUUAAUCAUACUGUGGUCAUACCAGCAUUUGACGUGUGCUUACAAAGCACAGAUAUACACAAAGGGGAAGUGGAUAAUCCAAAAAUGCUUAGACCAUAUAGUGGAGAUUCUGGAAGCUGUGAAUGCUGAGCUUUGUAGUGUGUUUGAGGCAACUUUCUGUUCUUCGUGCGGUUAUCAUAGAAAACACUGAUGUGUUUGUAGCACUUGGGAAUCCUUUAUGUUUGAAUUUGGAGGCUCUUGCUGUAAAUGUGGAGGGUUUUUUUCUGUUUUAAAUACAUGUUUAAAGAAAUACAGCAUGAUAGGAUAGCAGUCAUGGAACAGAGAUGCUACAGACAGGAGUUAACUCUCAUUUGUAGUAUGUAUUGAUAAAAUAGUUCCUCUGACCUUUACUUUUGGAUCUAAAGAUCAGUAACAGAAGUUUGAUUAGAUUUCAUAUUUGAAAAUUUGCUUCUUCUAACUAGUUUACUAGAGGGCGAGAUAUAAUUUGGAAAAUAAUCCAUCUUUAAAUGCUGUGGGUUACCUAAGUAGAUUUCUAUAUACAAGAGGAUAUCUUCUUGUUCUCUUGUGGUCCUGUGCUUCACUUCCCCAAAUCUGCUCUAAAGGAACCGCAAUCUUCUGGAUCCAAUUUGGAGUGUGUGCAGCAGAAAAUCUGCCACACUGGUGAAUUCUGUUCCUUAACUGACAGAUGCAGCUGGACACAAUUCAAGGAAGAAAUUAGAUUUAUUUCACAAAUGAAUUGGUGCUAGGAUUUCAUGACUCCUCAGUCAAAUGACAUAAGGAAGCAACUGUCUGGAAGUUUGUAAUAAUGAAUUAAGCUUAGCUCCUGGGUCAUCACUUCUCUAAUGUGGAAAGGAGGACAUUUACAUCUGUCUAUGUAAAUUGUAUAAAAAUAAGGCCAAGUGUUGAAAUUUAGCACUUUUCUGUUUCUUGUUGGCGUGAAAAACAUCGUUUCCUCUAUGUUGCCCUUUUACUAAAACAAUGAUUAGUUCUGUACAUUCUGUUCUUUGUCUUAUUGUUGAAAGUGACUUUAAGCUAAAUAUCAAAGAUUGAAAUAAAAAUAAACAUUAUGUAUAUAUCAAGUUUCCAUUAAGUAUGUUAUUUAUUUAGCUGUUGGCUUUAGAAACAUGACAUCUACAUAAUUUUAUCAUAGCCCACUAUCAUCAAAUUCCUAAAGCUAAAGCCAAAUCAGAGGGCAUGUUAUGAGAUGUAGGGUUACUUUUAGAUCAAGAUUAAUUCUACCAAGAUUAUUUCUAGCUCUCUGGAAAUAGUUCAGUUGAUCUUCAAGGAAUCUAAAAAAGAGAGGGCAAGCUUAUUGAUAAGCUCUAGUUUUAUGACUUAAUAAAUAAUAUCAGCCAUAGCAGUGCGGUCCCUAAAUUGCCCAUAAUCUAUAAGCUUGUCUAUAAAAUAAAUGUUUUACAGUACCAUUGCAUUCUGCAUAGCAUCUAUCAUACUACCAACAUGGCCUCAGACAUACCACUAAUUCUGUAUUAGUAGCAGUAUAUUCUGAACAAACUGCAGGGCAGAGAGAAUGAAUGGAAAAAGCAGAGCACACUUUCUUGGGGUAGUUAUCCUAUAUAGUUAACAGGUUUUUAGGCAUUUGUAGUGCUAUGAAACUCAUUUGCCAAAGUUAUGCCAACUUUAUCCUAGGGAAGUUCUCCUCUAACCAGCCAUAUUCUAUUCCACUAACUGGACAGCACUCAUGAAAUCAGGAAUUCAAUCCUUGUUUUAGCCUUGGACCAAAAUUUACCUACUGUGCUCCUUCAGCCAGGGUACAUUGAGGACGUAAUUGUUUUAGUACUGAGGUGAAAGCUUGUCUGUCAAAUGGAACAAAAGAACAAAUUCAGCUUUUCCAGUGAACGCAGUGCUUAGAAUUGAUUUGGGAAAUCCUUUUCAAAAUUACUAUCCAUUAAACAACCAUUCACACCUUUUUGUGAACAAAGUUAACUACUUGGCCUACUAACUACUGUUAAUUGUAGUUACCCAGAGUCACCUUGUGUGAGGUGGGCAGCUAUAUAAAUAUAACUCUCACCAACUAUCCAGAAAGGAAUUUCUCUGUUUCGAAGGUUUUGCAUCCUUAAGAACUGUAUAGAAAGUGUAGCUUCCUAAACUAUUCACUUCUACUUAUGCAGUUUUAGAAGCAGCUACUGGAGGAGUAUUUCCCCUAUCCUGAUAGCAUCAUCAGAUUCUAGGCUUUCCCACCCUCAUCAGGAAUAAUCCCUUCAACUAAAACAAUCUUACAGAUCACUCCUGUAAGACCCAUGUUCUGUUAACUCCCAGAGACACCAGCUGCAAAGAGUAUUAGAAAUGACAGCUCCAAGUUAAGCUAGGAGGGGAGCAUAAUACAAGGCCCAAAACAUCCUUCCAUACCUGACAUUAUAGUUUUAAAUUAAAAGCACAGGUGAUGAGAACAAGACAAAACAGAGCAAGGAAAUAAGAUAGUGCUUCCUUUGGUAUAGGAAGAAUAAAUUCUUACUAAAGAUUUUGGGGGACCAUUAAAAUAUGUAUAUAUUUAUCAUUUAAAUGUAUGCAUUUCUUUCUUAAAUGUAACACAUGCAGCAAGGACCUAUAAAGUUUUGUAAUUAAAAUUCAA